rnacentral:tRNA from 39 species
GCCUCCUUAGCUCAGUUGGCCAGAGCACCUGUCUUGUAAACAGGGGGUCGCCGGUUCGAAUCCGGCAGGGGGCUCCA